rnacentral:tRNA from 1 species
GGCGUGUUGACCGAGUGGCCCAAGGUGCAUGACUAGAAAUCAUGUGGGUUCGCCCGCGUAGGUUCGAAUCCUGCACACGUCG